rnacentral:tRNA from 1 species
AGCGGCCUAGCCCAACAGGCAGAGGCACCGGCAUCAAGCCCCGGACAGUGUGGGUUCGACCCCCACGGCCGCUA